UACGUAGGUGGCGAGCGUUGUCCGGAUUUACUGGGCGUAAAGCGCGCGCAGGCGGUCCGGUAAGUCUCCGGUGAAAUCGCCCGGCUCAACUGGGCGGGUGCCGGGGAGACUGGCGGACUUGAGGAGCCUAGAGGCCGGUGGAACUCCCGGUGUAGUGGUGAAAUGCGUAGAGAUCGGGAAGAACACCAGUGGCGAAGGCGGCCGGCUGGGGGUGCCCUGACGCUGAGGCGCGAGAGCGUGGGGAGCAAACCGG
rnacentral:rRNA from 1 species